rnacentral:rRNA from 1 species
CAGCCGUAAACAAUGUGCGUUAGGUGUGUCGGUAACCACGUGUUACUGAUGCGCCGAAGAGAAAUCGUGAAACGCACCACCUGGGAAGUACGGUCGCAAGGCUGAACUUAAGGAUUGGCGGGGGAGCACCACAACAGGUGGAGCCUGCGGUUUAAUUGGAUUCAACGCCGGACAUCUCACCGGAUAAGACAGCUGAAUGAUUGUCAAUCUGAAGGUUUUACAUGACUAGCUGAGAGGAGGUGCAUGGCGUCAGUGACU